ensembl:miRNA
UUGUACAUGGUAGGCUUUCAUUCAUUCGUUUGCACAUUCGGUGAAGGUCUACUGUGUGCCAGGC